CUUUUUCUUAUUUUUAAAAAGUCCUAUAGUUUUCUUUCCAAUAUCUUUUUUUCCAGGGCCGAUUACUGGAAAUCUCAGCCCAAGAAAUUCUGUGAUUAUUGCAAGUGCUGGAUAACAGACAACGAACCGAGCAUCGAUUUCCACGAAAGAGGAAAGAACCACAAGGAAAAUGUGGCAAAGAAAAUUAGCGAGAUUAAACAGAAAAGCUUGGACAAGGCGAAAGCAGACGAAAAAAUGGCAAAGGACUUUGCAGCCAUGGAGGAAGCGGCCACGAAGGCUUAUCAAGAAGAUUUGAAAAGGCUCGGAUUGAAGGCAGGUAGGACCCCGAUGCUAUCAAACGGAAGAACCCUCAUUCCAAUCCUUUGCUUCUUUCCAGUAGCUUCCCUUGACACGAACGUAAAGAGUCCAUAAAAAUACAGGUAGUCCUCAACUUGCAACUGUUUCUUUAGUGACCGUUUGACUUUGGCACUGAAGUUAUCUAGAUCAACUUUGGGAUGAUCAGAGAUGGAGAAUGCCAUUCAGUUUAUGUGUGUUAUGACCCAGCUCCCCAAACAUGACAAACCCUCUGUAUUUAAAUCAAGGAUUCCUUUAUUUAGGAGCGCCAGGACCCCAGCAAAAUGUUUCUCUCUCACACAGCAGGCUAACAAGUCCAUCCG